GAGGCGGGCGGAUCACGAGGCCAGGAGAUCGAGACCAUCCUGGCUAACACGGUGAAACCCCGGCUCUACUAAAAAUACAAAAAAUCAGCCGGGCGUGGUGGCGGGCGCCUGUAGUCCCAGCUACUCGGGAGGCUGAGGCAGGAGAAUGGCGUGAACCCGGGAGGCGGAGCUCGCAGUGAGCCGAGAUCGCGUCACUGCACUCCAACCUGGGCGACAGAGCGAGACUCCGUCUCAAAAAAAAAGCUAAAAAGAAAACCUUGGCAGAAAUCUAGCUAAUAGGUUUAGCCUGGGAAAUAGAAAGCAAGGAACUUGCUCAGGGAAACUUUUCGGUUCUGCGACGCAUGCGUUCAGCCUCCAAGAAAGUGGCAAAUACGGCUGCGCGAAUUGGCGGCCCGGCCCUCCUUGGUCACGUGUUGGGAGACAGCGGCGUGGCGGCGGCGGUGGCGGUAGCGACGGCAGGCCGUAGGGCGGUCAGAAGGUUUCCGGUUCCGGUGUAACGUUCGGGCUCCGUCUCAGGGGCUGAAGUUUGUGAGGUGUAGUAUUGAGUCCUGUUUGAGCUAUUGUUCUCUUUUUUCCUGAAAAAUGGCACUGUCAAAGAGGGAGCUGGAUGAGCUGAAACCAUGGAUAGAGAAGACAGUGAAGAGGGUCCUGGGUUUCUCAGAGCCUACGGUGGUCACAGCAGCAUUGAACUGUGUGGGGAAGGGCAUGGACAAGAAGAAGGCAGCCGAUCAUCUGAAACCUUUUCUUGACGAUUCUACUCUCCGAUUUGUGGACAAACUGUUUGAGGCUGUGGAGGAAGGCCGAAGCUCUAGGCAUUCCAAGUCUAGCAGUGACAGGAGCAGAAAACGAGAGCUAAAGGAGGUGUUUGGUGAUGACUCUGAGAUCUCUAAAGAAUCAUCAGGAGUAAAGAAGCGACGAAUACCCCGUUUUGAGGAGGUGGAAGAAGAGCCAGAGGUGAUCCCUGGGCCUCCGUCAGAGAGCCCUGGCAUGCUGACUAAGCUCCAGAUCAAACAGAUGAUGGAGGCAGCAACACGACAAAUCGAGGAGAGGAAAAAACAGCUGAGCUUCAUUAGCCCCCCUACACCUCAGCCAAAGACUCCUUCUUCCUCCCAACCAGAGCGACUUCCAAUUGGCAACACUAUUCAGCCCUCCCAGGCUGCCACUUUCAUGAAUGAUGCCAUUGAGAAGGCAAGGAAAGCAGCUGAACUACAAGCUCGAAUCCAAGCCCAGCUGGCACUGAAGCCAGGACUCAUCGGCAAUGCCAACAUGGUGGGCCUGGCUAAUCUCCAUGCCAUGGGCAUUGCUCCCCCGAAGGUGGAGUUAAAAGACCAAACGAAACCUACACCACUGAUCCUGGAUGAGCAAGGGCGCACUGUAGAUGCAACAGGCAAGGAGAUUGAGCUGACACACCGCAUGCCUACUCUGAAAGCCAAUAUUCGUGCUGUGAAGAGGGAACAAUUCAAGCAACAACUAAAGGAAAAGCCAUCAGAAGACAUGGAAUCCAAUACCUUUUUUGACCCCCGAGUCUCCAUUGCCCCUUCCCAGCGCCAGAGACGCACUUUUAAAUUCCAUGACAAGGGCAAAUUUGAGAAGAUUGCUCAGCGAUUACGGACAAAGGCUCAACUGGAGAAGCUACAGGCAGAGAUUUCACAAGCAGCUCGAAAAACAGGCAUCCAUACUUCGACUAGGCUUGCCCUCAUUGCUCCUAAGAAGGAGCUAAAGGAAGGAGAUAUUCCUGAAAUUGAGUGGUGGGACUCUUACAUAAUCCCCAAUGGCUUUGAUCUUACAGAGGAAAAUCCCAAGAGAGAAGAUUAUUUUGGAAUCACAAAUCUUGUUGAACAUCCAGCCCAGCUCAAUCCUCCAGUUGACAAUGACACACCAGUUACUCUGGGAGUAUAUCUUACCAAGAAGGAACAGAAAAAACUUCGGAGACAAACAAGGAGGGAAGCACAGAAGGAACUACAAGAAAAAGUCAGGCUGGGCCUGAUGCCUCCUCCAGAACCCAAAGUGAGAAUUUCUAAUUUGAUGCGAGUAUUAGGAACAGAAGCUGUUCAAGACCCCACGAAGGUAGAAGCCCACGUCAGAGCCCAGAUGGCAAAAAGACAGAAAGCGCAUGAAGAGGCCAACGCUGCCCGAAAACUCACAGCAGAACAGAGAAAGGUCAAGAAAAUUAAAAAGCUUAAAGAAGACAUUUCACAGGGGGUACACAUAUCUGUAUAUAGAGGUCUUUGUUUAUAGAGAGGAAACCAUUUUGGAUUCAUCUUUUUACUUGCCACUCCAUUCAGGCAGCUGCUGAUGCUAAAAUGGAAGACAUAACUAAACUUUCCCUUCUCCAGAGUUCGAAAUUUGAGCAACCCAGCCAAGAAGUUCAAGAUUGAAGCCAAUGCUGGGCAACUGUACCUGACAGGGGUGGUGGUACUGCACAAGGAUGUCAACGUGGUAGUAGUGGAAGGGGGCCCCAAGGCCCAGAAGAAAUUUAAGCGUCUUAUGCUGCAUCGGAUAAAGUGGGAUGAACAGACAUCUAACACAAAGGGAGAUGAUGAUGAGGAGUCUGAUGAGGAAGCUGUGAAGAAAACCAACAAAUGUGUACUAGUCUGGGAGGGUACAGCCAAAGACCGGAGCUUUGGAGAGAUGAAGUUUAAACAGUGUCCUACAGAGAACAUGGCUCGUGAGCAUUUCAAAAAGCAUGGGGCUGAACACUACUGGGACCUUGCGCUGAGUGAAUCUGUGUUAGAGUCCACUGAUUGAGACUACUGCAAGCCCUUGCCUCUCCCCCCUUGCCUUUGUCUCUUCAGUCCUCUCACUUAUUCUAUUUCCCAACCCCCUCCCACUUGUUUGUGUGAUCUCAGAACUGUGCCAAGCAGACAUUGGGACAAAGGGAGAAUAUCUUGCUCCCCUCCUGAGUCAGCCUGGUGUUGCCCUUUAUUCCCCUUAUGUGCAUAUGAUUAAAGAGUUAUUUUUAAA